rnacentral:rRNA from 1 species
UACGGGGGGGGCAAGCGUUGUUCGGAAUUACUGGGCGUAAAGGGCUCGUAGGCGGCCCUCUCAGUCGGAUGUGAAAUCCCCAGGCUCAACUUGGGAACUGCAUCCGAUACUGGAUGGCUUGAAUUCGGGAGAGGGAUGCAGAAUUCCAGGUGUAGCGGUGAAAUGCGUAGAUAUCUGGAGGAAUACCGGUGGCGAAGGCGGCAUCCUGGACCGACACUGACGCUGA